UGGACAGCCGCCGUGAAGUACUAGAGCGUUGGGAGCGGACGGUGCCUCUGAGAUCCUGGGUGGCCGCUUCCGGAAGAGCAGCUGGCAGCCAUGUUGGAUGGGCUCUUUCAGGUGCACUUCCGGCUGCGGUCAGCUGUGAGAAAAGAACAAUGGGUGAAGGAAGUGAAGUCCCACCUUUUAUAUCUUCCCAAGCAAUGCUAUUAAACUUAUUUUUCUAGAAA